AAAGAGAUACAAAGAAACAGAACAGUGUAGAUCACAACAGACGCUUGGCAGAGAGACACGCUUCCCUCCCAGAAGUCCAAAUGACUAAGUCACCAGAAAGAUAUUACCUGGGAAUUCUUAUUUCUGUAAGAAAUGGCAACAGCAGUUUUUAUUCUGGUUCUCAACUGGUGGCAGAGGUUGUCCCCCAGGAGACACUUGGUGGCAUCUGGUGGGAAGGCUGCUACUGACAUCUAGUGGAUAGAGGGCAAACAUUCUAGUAUGCGUGGACCAACACUAAGGCUCCAAUGGCUGUGGAGCUAAGGAUGAGAAAUUAGCCUUUAGUCAAGUUCCAUCAGAGCACAGGAUGCAUCCGACUCCUCUCACAGCUGCUGAGGGCCUUUGCUGCAAUGGUACACGCUCUGCUGAGGGCAGCUGUUAGAUCGACCCCAGAAAAUUCACUGUCAAGGCUGAGACCACAGUCAUCUUUCCAGGACUGUCCUUGGGAGAGAGACCCUUCUGUCUGGUCUUAGUUCCAAAGAUAGCUCUCCUCUUUAUUUUAAAUCACUGUUAACUCUGGAAUGGACUAUACGGUCCUUUUGGAGUUGGGUAUUAAACAAGUGUGAGCCAAACUUGGGACCCACACA
rnacentral:lncRNA from 1 species